rnacentral:rRNA from 1 species
UAUCAAUAAGCGGAGGAAAAGAAACCAACAGGGAUUGCCCUAGUAACGGCGAGUGAAGCGGCAACAGCUCAAAUUUGAAAUCUGGGUCUUUCAGGCUCCGAGUUGUAAUUUGUAGAGGAUGCUUCGGCAAAGGGCCUGGGAUAAGUUCCUUGGAACAGGAUGCCUAAGAGGGUGAGAGCCCCGUAAUCCUGGGUACCGCUGCCAUGUGAAGCUCCUUCGACGAGUCGAGUUGUUUGGGAAUGCAGCUCUAAGCGGGAGGUAAAUUUCUUCUAAAGCUAAAUAUUGGCCAGAGACCGAUAGCGCACAAGUAGAGUGAUCGAAAGAUGAAAAGCACUUUGGAAAGAGAGUUAAAAAGCACGUGAAAUUGUUGAAAGGGAAGCAUAUACUGCCAGACUUGCCACAGUCGCUCAGCCGUAAGGCGUAUUCUUCUGUGGCAGGCCAGCGUCAGUUUGGGCGGCUCGAUAAAGGCCUUGGGACUUGCUUCGGCAAGGCCCUCGGUGACAUAGGGCCAGCCUAGACUGAGGACCGCGUUCGCAAGGAUGCUGGCGUAAUGGCAGUAUGUGGCCCGUCUUGAAACACGG